UCUUUCUUAGCUUAAUAUAAAAGUGUCAGUUUGAAGCGCUGAAGAUACGAGUUUGUAGGAAGAG
rnacentral:tRNA from 1 species